rnacentral:rRNA from 1 species
UACAGAGGGGCAAGCGUUAUUCGGAAUUAUUGGGCGUAAAGGGCGCGUAGGCGGCUUGGCAAGUGGAAGGUGAAAUCCCUCGGCUUAACCGAGGAACUGCCCUCCAAACUGCUUGGCUUGAGACCGGGAGAGGUGAGUGGAAUUCCCAGUGUAGCGGUGAAAUGCGCAGAUAUCGGGAGGAACACCGGAUGGCGAGGACG